AUUAUUCCGCUGUUAUCCCUAGAGUAUUUUUCUCAAAUAAUCAUUAAUAAUGGGUCAUUUUAUUAUAUAAAAAGUUUUUGGGCAAGAAGACCCUAUGAAUUUUAAAAUAAUUAAUUUCUUAUAAGAAAUUAAUUAUUUUUAGUUGGGGCAACUAGAAAAUAUUAUAAACUUUUUAUAUAAUAAAAUGACCCAUUAUUAAUGAUUAUUUGAGAAAAAUACUCUAGGGAUAACAGCGUAAUAAUUUUUGAUAGAACCUAUAGACAAAAUAGUUUGCGACCUCGAUGUUGGAUUAGGAUACUUUUUUAAUGAAGAUGUUAAAAAAAGAAGUUUGUUCAACUUUUAAAGUCCUACUUGAUCUGAGUUCAGACCGGAUCCGGUAUU
rnacentral:rRNA from 1 species